UAAUAAUUAUAUGUUAAUUUGAUAAUUUGUAUUUUUUUAAUUUUACUUUUUAGUAUUUACGUUCUAAGUAAUUAGUUUUUGUAUAAUUAAAUAAUAUGUUCUUUACCCUGUAGAGUAUACAAAUUACAGAUUUAAACAGUUCUCUUUAGAUGUGGUCUUCAUCAGUCAUUCUUAUAGUCAUUGGAAACAACCGGUACAAUGUAUCGAUAAAUAAUUGAAACCAUUGCAAAAAACAAGUUAAAUUCAUGCUAUCUACAACAUUCAUAUUCAAAUCUUCAUAACUUAAAUCAUUUAGCAAGAUACACUAACUGAAGUAUACAUGUAUCCAGGCCAAUAAGGAGAUUAUUCUGUUUGGAAAAACAUCUGAAAAAACUGUUCCUACUAACAUAAUUGUUUAUCCGUCUGCAAAGAAGAGAUUCCAGAUAAAUUAAUAUAAUAGUGACUAACAUGGACUACUCAAAAAAGAUGUGUUGUUCGCAUACAAACUAAUCGCUAUCCAGCAAGCUGUCAAUAUUACUCUAUUGAUAAAUAUCUGACAAUUGAUU